GUCUGGAGUGUGCAGGGCCUUAACUCCAGCCAGCAGCAAAGCAGCAGCCAGUGCGACUGAGCCAGUACAGAGUGGAAGUAAGCUGUGCCAAGGAAAGGGAUGGAACAACUUACUUUCUCCCUGGAGCAAUGGAAGACCAGACACCAAACUGUGACUCUCUAAAUCAUAAUUAUGUCCCAGGGCUGGUGCAGGGCAGCAAACUACAAGGUGUCCCUUACAGAAGACUUUUUGUAGGUCACAGAUGAAAUUAGGCUCUCAGUUUUAGCAGUGUAAACCUGGAAUAGCUCCAGCAACGUCAUUAGUAAUGGAUAGAGCCUGCACCAUUAAAGUGAAUGGGAGAAUUGCUACCGACUGCAGGAGCAGGCCCAAUAUGAAUACAUGAGAGCAAGCGAAGAAGAAGAAUUGGAUUAUCCAGGAUCAAGAGUCCUGCUGGAAAGACCAAGAGGAAGUCUGACAAAAACUAAUGACCUGAUCCAUACACGGAGCCCUUGUUGACUUGAAUUGACAGCAGCUGAGCGUGGAGUUACUAAGAACAGAAAAUGUAGUCGGGGGGGAUGUUGUCAUCGUAUGCAUCCAUAAAGCACCAUACAUGUGACUUAACAAUAACUCCAGCAGGUGAAAUGGUUCGGGCCCUAUCUAUGUACUUACAUGACUUCCAUCACUGUUGCAUCUAAGCACCUAACUUCCUAUGUUCCCAAAAUAGACAGGUUUGGUCUGGGUAGUCUGUGUAGUGCUUGCUGCCCUGACCCCUCAGUCUUGGGGGCUGCUCUUGUCCACAGCUCUGAAGCAAGUAGCUGAGAGGAUAUUCCAUAGCCAGAUCCCACAGCUGUGGCAUUGCAGGCCCGGGUCCUGGGGUAAUAGAGACUGUGCAGUUGAUGCAUUUGAUCUCUGGCGAGGAAGGAGUAAAUGCUGGAUGCAUGGCACCCUGUGCCAGCUGGCUUGGGAGGAGCAACAUUGGCUUUGAUUGUGCAAGCAGGUGCCCACUUCCCCUCCUCAUCUAAUGGAGAGAGCUAGGGAACAGCUGUAAGCAGAGCAAAGUUAAAAAAAUAGAGGGAAAUAGGGAUUAAAAAAUAACUGGCUUGUCUGGCACGGGGAACUUGACAUGUUUUUCAUCUAAAUUAAAGAGAAAGUUGUGCUGUUGUUUUUCUGUCUGAAACAAUUGGCUAAUACAAGAGCUGCACAUUUUCGAGAAGUGAGAACAAGCCAUAUGUCUUCCAUAAAAACAUACUGAUACAGUUGAGCCUGCAAUGUAAGCUCUGUGGUAAAUCAUUUUUCUCAUAUGCCAUGGUUAAAGCAAGCAAUAUUUUUAUUUGCCAAAAUGUAUUUACAGCAUUGUAUUAUCAUUCAUCUCUGUCAGUUUUGCAUUUGUUAUCAUUGACACAUGGUAAAGUAGUUUCAAUUAUCUCUGAGCGCAAGAACUGAGAAUUUUUUC